GCGCACGCUGGCGGCAGGCUUAACACAUGCAAGUCGAGCGGGCCCUUCGGGGUCAGCGGCAGACGGGUGAGUAACACGUGGGAACGUACCCUUUGGUUCGGAAUAACGCUGGGAAACUAGCGCUAAUACCGGAUACGCCCUUUUGGGGAAAGGCUUGCUGCCGAAGGAUCGGCCCGCGUCUGAUUAGCUAGUUGGUGGGGUAAUGGCCUACCAAGGCGACGAUCAGUAGCUGGUCUGAGAGGAUGAUCAGCCACACUGGGACUGAGACACGGCCCAGACUCCUACGGGAGGCAGCAGUGGGGAAUAUUGGACAAUGGGCGCAAGCCUGAUCCAGCCAUGCCGCGUGAGUGAUGAAGGCCUUAGGGUUGUAAAGCUCUUUUGUCCGGGACGAUAAUGACGGUACCGGAAGAAUAAGCCCCGGCUAACUUCGUG
rnacentral:rRNA from 1 species